CCUACGGGAGGCAGCAGUGAGGAAUAUUGGUCAAUGGACGAGAGUCUGAACCAGCCAAGUAGCGUGAAGGAUGACUGCCCUAUGGGUUGUAAACUUCUUUUAUAUGGGAAUAAAAUGUUCCACGUGUGGGAUUUUGUAUGUACCAUAUGAAUAAGGAUCGGCUAACUCCGUGCCAGCAGCCGCGGUAAUACGGAGGAUCCGAGCGUUAUCCGGAUUUAUUGGGUUUAAAGGGAGCGUAGGAGGAUUGUUAAGUCAGUUGUGAAAGUUUGCGGCUCAACCGUAAAAUUGCAGUUGAAACUGGCAGUCUUGAGUACAGUAGAGGUGGGCGGAAUUCGUGGUGUAGCGGUGAAAUGCUUAGAUAUCACGAAGAACUCCGAUUGCGAAGGCAGUUCACUGGACUGCAACUGACACUGAGGCUCGAAAGUGUGGGUAUCAAACAGGAUUAGAUACCCGUGUAGUC
rnacentral:rRNA from 1 species